rnacentral:rRNA from 1 species
UACACUCCUGCGGGAGGCAGCAGUGGGGAAUUUUGGACAAUGGGCGAAAGCCUGAUCCAGCCAUGCCGCGUGCAGGAUGAAGGCCUUCGGGUUGUAAACUGCUUUUGUACGGAACGAAACGGCCUUUUCUAAUAAAGAGGGCUAAUGACGGUACCGUAAGAAUAAGCACCGGCUAACUACGUGCCAGCAGCCGCGGUAAUACGUAGGGUGCAAGCGUUAAUCGGAAUUACUGGGCGUAAAGCGUGCGCAGGCGGUUAUGUAAGACAGUUGUGAAAUCCCCGGGCUCAACCUGGGAACUGCAUCUGUGACUGCAUAGCUAGAGUACGGUAGAGGGGGAUGGAAUUCCGCGUGUAGCAGUGAAAUGCGUAGAUAUGCGGAGGAACACCGAUGGCGAAGGCAAUCCCCUGGACCUGUACUGACGCUCAUGCACGAAAGCGUGGGGAGCAAACAGGAUUAGAAACCCGAGUAGUCCCAUGAU